CCCUUUGGGUGUGACUGCGUACCUUUUGUAUAAUGGGUCAGCGACUUAUAUUCUGUAGCAAGGUUAACCGAAUAGGGGAGCCGGAGGGAAACCGAGUCUUAAUUGGGCGUUAAGUUGCAGGGUAUAGACCCGAAACCCGGUGAUCUAGCCAUGGGCAGGUUGAAGGUUGGGUAACACUAACUGGAGGACCGAACCGACUAAUGUUGAAAAAUUAGCGGAUGACCUGUGGCUGGGGGUGAAAGGCCAAUCAAACCGGGAGAUAGCUGGUUCUCCCCGAAAGCUAUUUAGGUAGCGCCUCGUGAAUUCAUCUCCGGGGGUAGAGCACUGUUUCGGCUAGGGGGCCAUCCCGGCUUACCAACCCGAUGCAAACUGCGAAUACCGGAGAAUGUUAUCACGGGAGACACACGGCGGGUGCUAACGUCCGUCGUGAAGAGGGAAACAACCCAGACCGCCAGCUAAGGUCCCAAAGUCAUGGUUAAGUGGGAAACGAUGUGGGAAGGCCCAGACAGCCAGGAUGUUGGCUUAGAAGCAGCCAUCAUUUAAAGAAAGCGUAAUAGCUCACUGGUCGAGUCGGCCUGCGCGGAAGAUGUAACGGGGCUAAACCAUGCACCGAAGCUGCGGCAGCGACACUGUGUGUUGUUGGGUAGGGGAGCGUUCUGUAAGCCUGUGAAGGUGUGUCGUGAGGCAUGCUGGAGGUAUCAGAAGUGCGAAUGCUGACAUAAGUAACGAUAAAGCGGGUGAAAAGCCCGCUCGCCGGAAGACCAAGGGUUCCUGUCCAACGUUAAUCGGGGCAGGGUGAGUCGACCCCUAAGGCGAGGCCGAAAGGCGUAGUCGAUGGGAAACGGGUUAAUAUUCCCGUACUUGGUGUUACUGCGAAGGGGGGACGGAGAAGGCUAUGUUGGCCGGGCGACGGUUGUCCCGGUUUAAGCGUGUAGGUGUGUGUUCCAGGUAAAUCCGGUUCACUUUAACACUGAGGCGUGACGACGAGGCACUACGGUGCUGAAGCAACAAAUGCCCUGCUUCCAGGAAAAGCCUCUAAGCAUCAGGUAACAUCAAAUCGUACCCCAAACCGACACAGGUGGUCAGGUAGAGAAUACCAAGGCGCUUGAGAGAACUCGGGUGAAGGAACUAGGCAAAAUGGUGCCGUAACUUCGGGAGAAGGCACGCUGACACGUAGGUGAAGUGAUUUACUCAUGGAGCUGAAGUCAGUCGAAGAUACCAGCUGGCUGCAACUGUUUAUUAAAAACACAGCACUGUGCAAACACGAAAGUGGACGUAUACGGUGUGACGCCUGCCCGGUGCCGGAAGGUUAAUUGAUGGGGUCAGCGCAAGCGAAGCUCCUGAUCGAAGCCCCGGUAAACGGCGGCCGUAACUAUAACGGUCCUAAGGUAGCGAAAUUCCUUGUCGGGUAAGUUCCGACCUGCACGAAUGGCGUAAUGAUGGCCAGGCUGUCUCCACCCGAGACUCAGUGAAAUUGAACUCGCUGUGAAGAUGCAGUGUACCCGCGGCAAGACGGAAAGACCCCGUGAACCUUUACUAUAGCUUGACACUGAACAUUGAGCCUUGAUGUGUAGGAUAGGUGGGAGGCUUUGAAGUGUGGACGCCAGUCUGCAUGGAGCCGACCUUGAAAUACCACCCUUUAAUGUUUGAUGUUCUAACGUGGACCCGUUACCCGGGUUGCGGACAGUGUCUGGUGGGUAGUUUGACUGGGGCGGUCUCCUCCUAAAGAGUAACGGAGGAGCACGAAGGUUGGCUAAUCCUGGUCGGACAUCAGGAGGUUAGUGCAAUGGCAUAAGCCAGCUUGACUGCGAGCGUGACGGCGCGAGCAGGUGCGAAAGCAGGUCAUAGUGAUCCGGUGGUUCUGAAUGGAAGGGCCAUCGCUCAACGGAUAAAAGGUACUCCGGGGAUAACAGGCUGAUACCGCCCAAGAGUUCAUAUCGACGGCGGUGUUUGGCACCUCGAUGUCGGCUCAUCACAUCCUGGGGCUGAAGUAGGUCCCAAGGGUAUGGCUGUUCGCCAUUUAAAGUGGUACGCGAGCUGGGUUUAGAACGUCGUGAGACAGUUCGGUCCCUAUCUGCCGUGGGCGCUGGAGAACUGAGGGGGGCUGCUCCUAGUACGAGAGGACCGGAGUGGACGCAUCACUGGUGUUCGGGUUGUCAUGCCAAUGGCACUGCCCGGUAGCUAAAUUCGGAAGAGAUAAGUGCUGAAAGCAUCUAAGCACGAAACUUGCCCCGAGAUGAGUUCU
rnacentral:rRNA from 1 species